UUGAGAUUUUUGAAUAAAUGGCAGGUUAGAAAAAAUGGGCGAAGAAAAAAAGGGCGAGAAAAACGGGCGAAGAAUAAAGGGUUUUUCUCGCCCUUUUUUUCUUCGCCCAUUUUUUCUAACCUGCCAUUUAUUCAAAAAUCCUCAAAACCUACAAU